CUACGGGUCGCAGCAGUGGGGAAUAUUGCACAAUGGGCGCAAGCCUGAUGCAGCAACGCCGCGUGAGGGAUGAAGGCCUUCGGGUUGUAAACCUCUUUUAGCAGGGAAGAAGCGAAAGUGACGGUACCUGCAGAAAAAGCACCAGCUAACUACGUGCCAGCAGCCGCGGUAAUACGUAGGGUGCAAGCGUUGUCCGGAAUUAUUGGGCGUAAAGAGCUCGUAGGCGGUUUGUCACGUCUGCUGUGAAAAUCCAAGGCUCAACCUGGGACUUGCAGGGGGUACGGGCAGGCUAGAGUGCGGUAGGGGAGAUGGGAAUUCCUGGUGUAGCGGUGGAAUGCGCAGAUAUCAGGAGGAACACCAAUGGCGAAGGCACAUCUCUGGGCCGUAACUGACGCUGAGGAGCGAAAGCGUGGGGAGCAAACAGGAUUAGAUACCCUCGUAGUC
rnacentral:rRNA from 1 species